AGGUUGGGGACCACUGCUGUAGGCUAUGUAUUGAAUCGAUUUCUGUUUAAUCGGUGAAAGAAAGAGCUGCCCUUCAAAAGUAACUGAAAAGGAGGCAAUUUGGCAGAUGUCACAACAUAGUAAGAAGUAAACUACAAUAACCUUGUUUUUGAACUUCAUCAGGCAACGUGUCUUAUUCAGAGAGACCGAGUGGGGUUAUUGCCAGCACGGCGUGUUAUGUACAUUUAAUGCCAUAUCAAGAUGAAUUCCCGGAUUUAUUCAAGCUGUUGUGUGUCUGUCACAUUAGCUAAUUUGAAUGCGAACUUUUCUUGCGUACGUCUCCUAAAGAUAACGUAACUGCUACACGAGGAACAGCAAUGGUGGCUCUGCUCAACUCCAUGAGAACCAAAGGACAGGACAUAUACUGUACUGCUCGAAGAAUUUCAACUGGGUUCUCACAUCGCUGGCCUGUUCAUACAACUCGUCCUCCUGAAGGUUGAAUGAAGGAAGAUGUCGCAAGCAAGGACGAAAAGAUAUAUAAAGGAGGAGUGUGGAUGAAGAUGUCAAGGGAGUGAGAAGGUGCCAGCCACCGAAUGCAAGAACAUGCUCUACAUUUUUUCUCAAGUU